rnacentral:hammerhead_ribozyme from 1 species
AUCUUAUUGAAGAGUCUCAAAUAGGACGAAAUGUGCUUUCUGGAU